rnacentral:rRNA from 1 species
AUUGAACGCUGGCGGCAGGCCUAACACAUGCAAGUCGAACGAGUGGCGGACGGGUGAGUAAUGUCUGGGAAACUGCCUGAUGGAGGGGGAUAACUACUGGAAACGGUAGCUAAUAACGCAUAACACCGGAUGUGGCCAGCUGGGAUUAGCUAGUAGGUGGGGUAACGGCUCACCACGGGGACGAUCCCUAGCUGGUCGGAGAGGAUGACCAGCCAAACGGGAAUUGAGACACGGUCCAGACUCCUACGGGAGGCAGCAGUGGGGAAUAUUGCACAAUGGGCGCAAGCCUGAUGCAGCCAUGCCGCGUGUAUGAAGAAGGCCUUCGGGUUGUAAAGUACUUUCAGCGGGGAGGCGUUACCCGCAGAAGAAGCACCGGCUAACUCCGUGCCAGCAGCCGCGGUAAUAC